rnacentral:rRNA from 1 species
CUACGGGGGGCACCAGUGGGGAAUAUUGCACAAUGGGCGCAAGCCUGAUGCAGCCAUGCCGCGUGUAUGAAGAAGGCCUUCGGGUUGUAAAGUACUUUCAGCGGGGAGGAAGGGAGUAAAGUUAAUACCUUUGCUCAUUGACGUUACCCGCAGAAGAAGCACCGGCUAACUCCGUGCCAGCAGCCGCGGUAAUACGGAGGGUGCAAGCGUUGUUCGGAAUUACUGGGCGUAAAGCGCACGCAGGCGGUUUGUUAAGUCAGAUGUGAAAUCCCCGGGCUCAACCUGGGAACUGCAUCUGAUACUGGCAAGCUUGAGUCUCGUAGAGGGGGGUAGAAUUCCAGGUGUAGCGGUGAAAUGCGUAGAGAUCUGGAGGAAUACCGGUGGCGAAGGCGGCCCCCUGGACGAAGACUGACGCUCAGGUGCGAAAGCGUGGGGAGCAAACAGGAUUAGAUACCCUGGUAGUC